UACGGAGGGUGCGAGCGUUGUUCGGAAUUAUUGGGCGUAAAGCGCGUGUAGGCGGUUUGUUUAGUCUGAUGUGAAAGCCCUGGGCUCAACCCAGGAAGUGCAUUGGAAACUGGCAAACUUGAGUACGGGAGAGGAAAGUGGAAUUUCGAGUGUAGGGGUGAAAUCCGUAGAUAUUCGAAGGAACACCAGUGGCGAAGGCGGCUUUCUGGACCGAUACUGACGCUGAGACGCGAAAGCGUGGGGAGCAAACAGGAUUAGAUACCCUGGUAGUCCACGCCGUAAACGAUGGGUACUAGGUGUUGCGGGUAUUGACCCCUGCAGUGCCAAAGCUAACGCAUUAAGUACCCCGCCUGGGGAGUACGGCCGCAAGGCUAAA
rnacentral:rRNA from 1 species